rnacentral:rRNA from 1 species
AUGAACGCUGGCGGCGUGCUUAACACAUGCAAGUCGAACGAAACACCUUAUUUGAUUUUCUUCGGAACUGAAGAUUUGGUGAUUGAGUGGCGGACGGGUGAGUAACGCGUGGGUAACCUGCCCUGUACAGGGGGAUAACAGUCAGAAAUGACUGCUAAUACCGCAUAAGACCACAGCACCGCAUGGUGCAGGGGUAAAAACUCCGGUGGUACAGGAUGGACCCGCGUCUGAUUAGCUGGUUGGUGAGGUAACGGCUCACCAAGGCGACGAUCAGUAGCCGGCUUGAGAGAGUGAACGGCCACAUUGGGACUGAGACACGGCCCAAACUCCUACGGGAGGCAGCAGUGGGGAAUAUUGCACAAUGGGGGAAACCCUGAUGCAGCGACGCCGCGUGAGUGAAGAAGUAUUUCGGUAUGUAAAGCUCCAUCAGCAGGGAAGAAAAUGACGGUACCUGACUAAGAAGCCCCGGCUAACUACGUG